UACGAAGGGGGCUAGCGUUGCUCGGAAUCACUGGGCGUAAAGGGUGCGUAGGCGGGCCUUUAAGUCAGGGGUGAAAUCCUGGAGCUCAACUCCAGAACUGCCUUUGAUACUGAAGAUCUUGAGUCCGGAAGAGGUGAGUGGAACUGCGAGUGUAGAGGUGAAAUUCGUAGAUAUUCGCAAGAACACCAGUGGCGAAGGCGGCUCACUGGUCCGGUACUGACGCUGAGGCACGAAAGCGUGGGGAGCAAACAGG
rnacentral:rRNA from 1 species